GUUUUGAGCUGGAACACAAAUCAGAAACACUUCAAUGGUAAAAAAAAAAGAAAUAAAAUAUCAGAAUGUGAUUGACAAACAUAUUACAGUGUUAGAAGGUGUUUAAUAUCCCUUCUCUUGCCACCCUAUCCCCGUCCAUCUUUAAACCACAGGUGAGACGGGUUGGCAGGGGGCAGAAAACCGAUGAAUUGGCCAUUUUUGUUCAUGGACCAGGUCCAUUGGCUCCAUCAAGCUCACGGGGAGAGAUGUAACUGUACGUCAGGACCUCAGUAGUUCACCAUGACAAUUCCCUGUUAUCGUUUAAGAUCAUUCUUUAUAUUCCGUUGAGAAAAAAAAAAAAUAGACAAACGAAACAACGAUACGUGUCUUAUGCCACUUUCUUUAAAGAAAGGGCCAACAACUAAACGCAAGGUCCAGUUCAGUCAGUCGGUAUAUGAUUCCCGAUGAAGAGCCUCGUCACCAUAUUUGGCUCAGUUGUUUUCUCUUUGCAGGGGAAUUAUUCAUUCAGGGGAACAGCACAAGACCUUCGACUUCAUAAAGAAAUCGUAAGGUGGUAACUGGGAGGUUUGAAACCAGGCAAAUGUCCGGCUGUGUAAAGCUUAGUUUUUCAUACAAAUUAUGCUCUUGCUAUAAAGAAUGGAGAUGAACACAACAUCUUUAUAAAAAAAUAUAGUUUAUCCAAUGAAAGAAAAUAUGUCAAACGUGUUUAUUUUCUCACAAUUUGUAUACAUUGAAGAUGAUGUCAAACACAACCUUUGGUCCCGUUAUGCCAUCCAUGCGAUGAAAAUAUGUCCUGACUUGUUAAGAUGUCUUUAUAUCCACCUUUUUACAAUCUCACAGGGGUCACUAGAGUUCUGCAUGCAUCUGUUGACUCACAUCAGCGUGUGACAUUCAACUCGAUUUAGGUUCCACCCUCCAUCAAACAACCACACACACGUAAUCGUCCCAUCGCGCGACGCCGUAUGACCACACGACGAUGUGCGAUAGCGGCAGUGUGUUCGCUCCAUCGAACUCUCAGGGCGGCUGUGAUGAACCUGAGCCUCCGUCUCAUCUCGGGGGAAGAGUUUACUUCCACCCCCCACGUUGCUCUCGGCCUUGCACGCACAGCAUAUGUACAAAGCUACAUGAAGCAAAUAGAAACAGAGCUAUGAACAGAGUGUAAAUCCAUAUCUAUACAUGUUAAUGAUUAAAACGAUUACGUUGUGUCAUGAUCUCGUUGCCUCUUGUUUUGUUUAACGUGUUCCGUCGCUCCUGAAAGUUGAGACGAUGAUCCUGUUGAUGCCACGCCGACUGAUUCAGGCUGAUAGAAGAGCAACUUUGGCUGAAAUCACCAGUCGUUACAACCGAGGUGCGCAGCAAAGCGUUUGUGAAG
ensembl:lncRNA